rnacentral:rRNA from 1 species
CCAGGCAAAUCCGGUUCACUUUAACACUGAGGCGUGAUGACGAGGCACCACGGUGCUGAAGCAACAAAUGCCCUGCUUCCAGGAAAAGCCUCUAAGCAUCAGGUAACAUCAAAUCGUACCCCAAACCGACACAGGUGGUCAGGUAGAGAAUACCAAGGCGCUUGAGAGAACUCGGGUGAAGGAACUAGGCAAAAUGGUGCCGUAACUUCGGGAGAAGGCACGCUGACACGUAGGUGAAGUGAUUUACUCAUGGAGCUGAAGUCAGUCGAAGAUACCAGCUGGCUGCAACUGUUUAUUAAAAACACAGCACUGUGCAAACACGAAAGUGGACGUAUACGGUGUGACGCCUGCCCGGUGCCGGAAGGUUAAUUGAUGGGGUCAGCGCAAGCGAAGCUCCUGAUCGAAGCCCCGGUAAACGGCGGCCGUAACUAUAACGGUCCUAAGGUAGCGAAAUUCCUUGUCGGGUAAGUUCCGACCUGCACGAAUGGCGUAAUGAUGGCCAGGCUGUCUCCACCCGAGACUCAGUGAAAUUGAACUCGCUGUGAAGAUGCAGUGUACCCGCGGCAAGACGGAAAGACCCCGUGAACCUUUACUAUAGCUUGACACUGAACAUUGAGCCUUGAUGUGUAGGAUAGGUGGGAGGCUUUGAAGCGUGGACGCCAGUCUGCGUGGAGCCGACCUUGAAAUACCACCCUUUAAUGUUUGAUGUUCUAACGUGGACCCGUAAUCCGGGUUGCGGACAGUGUCUGGUGGGUAGUUUGACUGGGGCGGUCUCCUCCUAAAGAGUAACGGAGGAGCACGAAGGUUGGCUAAUCCUGGUCGGACAUCAGGAGGUUAGUGCAAUGGCAUAAGCCAGCUUGACUGCGAGCGUGACGGCGCGAGCAGGUGCGAAAGCAGGUCAUAGUGAUCCGGUGGUUCUGAAUGGAAGGGCCAUCGCUCAACGGAUAAAAGGUACUCCGGGGAUAACAGGCUGAUACCGCCCAAGAGUUCAUAUCGACGGCGGUGUUUGGCACCUCGAUGUCGGCUCAUCACAUCCUGGGGCUGAAGUAGGUCCCAAGGGUAUGGCUGUUCGCCAUUUAAAGUGGUACGCGAGCUGGGUUUAGAACGUCGUGAGACAGUUCGGUCCCUAUCUGCCGUGGGCGCUGGAAGACUGAGGGGGGCUGCUCCUAGUACGAGAGGACCGGAGUGGACGCAUCACUGGUGUUCGGGUUGUCAUGCCAAUGGCACUGCCCGGUAGCUAAAUGCGGAAAAGAUAAGUGCUGAAAGCAUCUAAGCACGAAACUUGCCCCGAGAUGAGUCUUCCCUGAGACUUUGAGUCUCCUGAAGGAACGUUAAAGACGAUGACGUUGAUAGGCCGGGUGUGUAAGCGCAGCGAUGCGUUGAGCUAACCGGUACUAAUGAACCGUGAGGCUUAACCUUACAACGCCGAAGGUGUUU